rnacentral:RNase_P_RNA from 1 species
CCAGAGGGCCGGGCGGCCGCGGCGUGGCGGGUAACUUCCACGGCGAGGAAAGUCCGGGCUCCACGAAAUGACGGUGCCGGUUAACGACCGGCUGGAGUGAUCCAAGGGACAGUGCAACAGAAAGCAGGUCGCCCAGGGCUUCGGCCCUAAGACUUCGGUCGGGUGAAAUUGAAAGGGUGCGGUAAGAGCGCACCGCGUCUGCGGCAACGCAAGGCGGCACGGUAAACCCCACCGGGAGCAAGACCGAAUAGGGGCGGCGCGCAAUCGCAAGAUUGCUAGGUCUGUUUCGACUGAGAUCGCCCGGGUUGGUUGCUUGAGGAACGGAGCAAUCCGUUCCCUAGAGGAAUGGUCGCCCAUCUCCGUAAGGAGUGGACAGAACCCGGCUUACAGGCCCUCUGGCGAA